AGUCCCCCACCGGUGGGGCUUGUGCCCUUGGGCAGCGCUCUCCACAGCAGAAGCUGGUGGGCGUUGGAUUCUCCCAGGCCCUUAGGAUGAAGUCGAGAACUUUCUGAGACCCAGAAGAGAAAGAAGCCAACUUUGCUGUCUCAUGGGACGCUGAGCCAGGGCAAGGAGAGUCUAGGAGGGCCACGUCCAAACGCAGCUGCGAGCAGCAGGCCUCGGCCGAAACUGCUCUGUUGAGGGUCAGAUCUGGUUGUGCUUUGAAGGGGCCACAGUCCUUGAAGGUGCAGUUACCAGCUGGCGAGUGCGUAGGGUCACUACAUUACCUCUAAUCCUCUCACCCACCCUUAGGAAAGGGACAUUCAAGAGAUUAAUUAAAGCCACAGAGCUAGCAAGUCCUGCAGCCAGGACUCAAACCUACUUUUCUAUUAUGCCGCAAAGCCACGUGUGUUCCAACCUCCAUGCCUGUCUCCUUGGAUACUGGCAAAACGAGCCUCAGAGGGUGGCAGAGAUGGCCCAGCAGCAGCUUUUGACGGAGAGGCCCUCCUCUGGCUGACCUGCCCUUCCCCGUCACUUCCCCACACGGCGUCUGAGCUGCCUUCAGGAACUGCAGAUCGGAUGACUCACACUGUCCUCGGGGUUUCAAGUGUAUGUUUUAUAAUAAGCCCCAGCAUCCCUGGCAAGGAAGCAGGGUCAUCUUGGUGCCCGCCUUUCCCAAGCACAUACCUGCUCUAAUUACUCUGACCAGCUGGGGCAGGAAGCAGCUGAAACCCCCAGGCACGGUUUGUCUCCUCCCAUCAUGCCCGGGAAGUGAGCUUUCCUUGGUGGAGCUGGGCAUGCCAACCCUGUGCCCCGAGAUCAGGUGGGGGCUGGUAAGUGUGGCCAGGCACGGUGCUCUGUGGCAUUCUGUGCCUGCCCCCUCCCACCUCCAUUAUAAGCAGGGACAUGGUCAAAUGACAAUGACAAUGGAUAAGCCAGUUGCUGAAACGGGAUUCUAGAAGAGUCUACUGCUCUGUGUUGUCCCAACAUUCUGAUUGGUAAAAUUUGGGGAAAUAGAUGAAUGGGUGCUUCUCACUGUAGGUCUGCUGCCUGCUUUGAAGACUGGGGAGAACUUACUGGAUUCUAUAACUCUAGCCUUUCUGCCAAACUACUCUAUAAAAUACUUAGUAUUAUUAUUGCUCUUAUGGAGACGUGGGCAUCAACACAUCUAGGUUAUAGAUGUCGGCUGAUCUCCUUUCUUGUCUACUUUAUGAGGCUUAGCAGGGGCAGGGUGAGCAGUUUAGCUGAAGACUAUUUGUAGUAUCCAAACCAUUGCUUCCCUGGAUGCUUCCUUCCCUCACCCCCUCUCCCUUUAAGGAAACCUGCCUGCCUCUGAAGGGCAGCUUUUAGAAUCUCUGGGCAAAGAGGUUCCAGUGUAGUUCAGACCAGGCUCUGCUGACUGAGGUUCUGGAGGGUCCCCAAGUCCCCUCUUGCAUAAAGGGCAAUGAUUGGCUUGCACAGAAUGGCUGCCAGCUGUCUUAGGACACAUUUGGAUGCCUAAAAUACCAGUGCCAUCAAAGGUCGGCCUGCUGGGUGAGUGUAGACGGCAGGAAGAGCAGCCAUUCCAAAGGCAGCGCUGUCUUCAACCCCAGUUUCCAUCCGGGAUUGACCCCAGGCUGAGCCCAGCCCCGGACUCUGUGCUGCAAGAAGGGGAGGAUAGAGCAUCCUGCCGGACAUGGCCUCCAGCGACAGCAUCCCUCUCAGGUCCAGCCACUAAGCUGCCUGAUCCCUGUGGUGCCCUCCCAUGUGAUUACGGACCCCUGGGUCAUUCAGUCUCCCACUGUCCUUGGCAAGAAUUCCGCACCUCCUCUUCCCACCCGGAUCCCCAUAACACCAUCAGCUGUGAGGCUGCCGCAUGUUUCUCCUGGAGGUUGGAAACAACUAGACCAGGCCCUUCGCCAUGCUCCUGUCUGCCCACCUACCCACAGCUCUGCCUGUGCAAGUGGCCUCAGCUCCGGCUACAACGCCUGAGCUCUCCGUGCUGCUGGCUAGGUUGGCCUGCUGGCUCCAGGUUCUAGCCCCCGCACCUUCUCAAGGACCUUGUUCCACCCAAGGUCUCCUCCCUUUCCUACAUCAUGGAUUUCCCUCCCUGCACACAAACAGACCAAUCGUCACACUUAAAGUCCCCCCUCUCAACCUCAUUCCCACCUCCAGCCUCUGCCCCCCGCAACCUCAGAAGCUGUCCUGACUGGCACCCCCCUUCCAUCUUCCCCCUGCUCUUGAACCAGACCAUGCCUCUGGCACACCUGAAAGACUGCUGCGGUCGAGGUCUCACGUGUCCUACCUCCGUGACAUCCCUGCUCACAGGCAUCGUCAAGCUGAGGCAGGAAUUCCCACACUUUAUCUCACCUGAUCCAGUCGUAGCCUCUGACCCAAAGGAUGGUGGUGUCAUUCCUGCAGUGAUCCCUCUUUCUUGGUCCUCUGCCUACUUCGUUGACUGCUCCUCCUCAUUCCUAGUUGGUUCCUACUAAAGGUCGACCACUACCAUGACGCAGGACGAGGGACAUCCAGAUGCUCUUAGACUUUUUUUGCUGUAUGGUGGCCCAACGUGAAAGAAGAGCAUCCGUUUGGUUUCCUCCCAUUUGUGCCUUCAAAAGCUCGGUGUCGCCCUUGACUCCUUUCCUCUCACACUCAGGCUCUGCCUGCAAGUCCCACCAGCCCUACCUCCAAAUCACCACCAGAGCUGACCCCUUCUCACCACCUGGCCCUACUGUCUUAGACCCAGCCACAGUGACAUCACAGCACUGUUCCCCAGCUUUCUAGUUGGUCUCACUGCUUGCAAACCUGGAAAAAAAAGAAGCUACAUCCUGCCCCUCAGCUGUCCAAAACCCUCCAGUGGCUUCCCAGCUCCAGGGAAAAGCCAAGCUCUCUGCUGCAGAUCAAGUGCCCUCUGAAUUUGGUGAAUAGAGAUAACUAUGGAGCUUAAGAAUGCUCAGGCGAUGCUGAAAGAGAUCAUAUGACAGUGGACUGGAGCAGGGAGUGACUGGGUCAGCGCGCCACUCAGCUGAACGAGGCCGGCUUCUGCAGAGACUCCCUCACUGUAUACAUUACAUUCAACCAGUCACAUUACCAGGACCUGCAGAUUCUUCCUUCUUAGUAUCUCCUGAGUGGAAACCCUGGCUCCUGCCAGCCUCAGCUCUGGGCCUCCACUCCUGGACGCGGGAUCUCGGCCUGUCCUCCCCAUGCCGCAGGUUCCAGGAACUCUCUCCCAGCCUGGAACUAGGCUGCGUCUCGGUUCUGAUUCUCGUGCUCUGAGAGGCCCCUGGAGCUUUCAAGGUAAAGCCCAAAGUUCCAACCCAGACAAGCCCACCAGGCGCUGAGGGCGUGCCGACGCCCAACUCAU